rnacentral:tRNA from 1 species
AACUAGCUAGCUCAAGUAGAGCAUGAGACCCUGGAUCUCAGGGUUGUGAGUUCAAGCCCUAUGUUAGGUA